GAACUGAAGAGUUUGAUCAUGGCUCAGAUUGAACGCUGGCGGCAGGCCUAACACAUGCAAGUCGAGCGGAUGAGUGGAGCUUGCUCCAUGACUCAGCGGCGGACGGGUGAGUAAUGCCUAGGAAUCUGCCUGGUAGUGGGGGGCAACGUUUCGAAAGGAACGCUAAUACCGCAUACGUCCUACGGGAGAAAGUGGGGGAUCUUCGGACCUCACGCUAUCAGAUGAGCCUAGGUCGGAUUAGCUAGUUGGCGAGGUAAAGGCUCACCAAGG
rnacentral:rRNA from 1 species